CAGCCGCCGCGGGAAUACGAAGGGUGCAAGCGUUAAUCGGAAUUACUGGGCGUAAAGCGUGCGUAGGCGGUGAGUUAAGUCUGCUGUGAAAUCCCCGGGCUCAACCUGGGAAUGGCAGUGGAUACUGGCUCGCUAGAGUGUGUCAGAGGAUGGUGGAAUUCCCGGUGUAGCGGUGAAAUGCAUAGAGAUCGGGAGGAACAUCAGUGGCGAAGGCGGCCAUCUGGGACAACACUGACGCUGAGGCACGAAAGCGUGGGGAGCAAACAGGAUUAGAUACCCCGGUAGUCCCUGUCUCUUAUAC
rnacentral:rRNA from 1 species